AUUGAACGCUGGCGGCAGGCCUAACACAUGCAAGUCGAGCGCGAAAGUUCUUCGGAAUGAGUAAAGCGGCGGACGGGUGAGUAACGCGUGGGAAUCUGCCUAGUAGUGGGGGACAACAGCCGGAAACGGCUGCUAAUACCGCAUACGCCCUACGGGGGAAAGGGGGGGAUCUUCGGACCUCUCGCUAUUAGAUGAGCCCGCGUCGGAUUAGCUAGUUGGUAGGGUAAGGGCCUACCAAGGCUACGAUCCGUAACUGGUCUGAGAGGAUGAUCAGUCACACUGGAACUGAGACACGGUCCAGACUCCUACGGGAGGCAGCAGUGGGGAAUAUUGGACAAUGGGGGCAACCCUGAUCCAGCCAUGCCGCGUGUGUGAAGAAGGCCUUAGGGUUGUAAAGCACUGUCAGUGGGGAGAAAGGUUUGUCACCUAAUACGUGAUGAGAUUGAUGUUACCCACAGAAGAAGCACCGGCUAACUCCGUGCCAGCCGCCGCAGUAA
rnacentral:rRNA from 1 species